rnacentral:rRNA from 1 species
AGGACGAACGCUGGCGGCGUGCUUAACACAUGCAAGUCGAGCGGAAAGGCCCUUCGGGGUACUCGAGCGGCGAACGGGUGAGUAACACGUGAGUAAUCUGCCCAUCGCUUCAGGAUAGCCAUCGGAAACGGUGAUUAAUACUGGAUAUGACAUUCCUUCGCAUGUUGGGGUGUGGUAAAGUUUUUUCGGCGGUGGAUGUGCUCGCGGCCUAUCAGCUUGGUUGGUGGGUAAUGGCCUACCAAGGCUUUGGACGGGUUAGCCGGCCUGGAGACGGGUGACCGGCCACGCGUGGACUGGACGACCGACGGCCCAGACCUACCGUACGGGAGGCCAGG